rnacentral:lncRNA from 1 species
UACAAACGGCUAAAAGCAAUCCAUGCAAGCUUAAAGAUCUGUAGUAAACUAUAUUACUGAAAUCUUUGUUUUUACAAUACAAAUUAAUUACAGUGAAUUAGAUAUGAAGAUGAACCAGAGUUCUUGGAGAUUGUGUCAUCAGAACUACAAUUCUGAAAGGAAACCUCUACAUAUCACAGCAAGCCAAGAAACUAUGUUGCAAAUUUUGAAUAACAGCAACAAGAUGAAGUUUGAAAGACAUGUGUAUAAUCACAAGCUGGUACAGAACUAUAAAGCUUUGAGAACAGACAGAGUGCCUUUCAGUCCUCUGUUAGCCUGGCUCUAAUAGAAAUAUACAACCUUGACUAAUGGCAAGUUACCACAAGGUCAUUGGUACAGGCUCCUGGAAUUAGCAGAAAGUUAAUGGAUCUAUCGAAAACGAUACACACUCUGGGCCUGAAGUUGUCGGCAUGUGAUAGUAACUUACCCCCAGCAUUCAGCCCAAGGAUAGUACCGCUUUUGGAGAUCCAGGGUUCUUGAAUAAGGGCAAGGUUGGCUAAAGCUUCAAGAGCACUAGUAAAAACCUUCAAUAAGAAGGCAGCUUCAGAUCUACUAGUACUUCGUAGGAAAUCCUAUGAUUCUUAGUGGGGGCACUUACCGGACACUGUGGACUCAAUACACACAUGUUCAAUCUUGAACUCUGGGACACAGAUCUGUGCAGACUGCCUAGAGGCAGAGGAAACAUCUAUGCACAUCUUAUGCAAUUGCCCAGCUCUAAUACAAAAACGCAACCUCCACUUAGGGCAUUACACAGUGGACCCAGAGGAGGUGAAACACAUCCCAGCCAAGAAACUGCUGCUGUUCCUGGCAGCAACCAGUAUUGGUGGGGAAAUCUAGUCAGUGGCGAUCACAAUAUUUCGGUAACGGUCAAUGUGAUUCAGGGACCUCAAGAAGACCUGAGGAGUCACGACAUCUAGAAGAAGAAGAAUGGCCAGUUUUAUGAACUUGAAUAAGUAUAAAACAUUAAUGUACAAUGGCCAACCCUUAGUGGCCAAAUGCGGAAAGGCCUGUGAAAGAAGAAGAAGAAGUAUAAAACAUGUAACAUCUGCAAAAUUGCUGUAGCACCUAACAGUGCAUGAAAACUCACCCAAUUUGCAGCGUGAAGGUAACAGUGACACGAUAAAAACACACUCUGAAAUAUGUAUAUUCUGUACUAAAUACUGAAAUGCUUUCCAGCAAUGGACAAGACUUUAAAAAUUCGCUAGAAGAGAAUCUUUAAAUAUGACCAAUAUACCCAUUCCCCUCUGAUUAGUCAGAAGAGACUACUAAGAGUGGAAUGUUGAAAUAGUACAACUUUAAUCCAGCCGAGGGAGAAGUUUAAACCACCACCGCUCAAUGAUGAAGCUCACAUCUUUAUCACUGAGCUAUUGUGACUUAAUCUUAGCUGUGUAAUUGCAUAUUAUAUGAAGAGGAAUUUAGUUUAUUGUUGAUCAUAAAUAAAAAGAGUAUGAUUAUAGCCACCAUACAGAAUUGCCAAAAAGAUAAAGUAAAGAUGAACAUAGAAGUGUUGGCUUGAUGCUACCACUGGAUGUUUCUUUAACUGAAAAAUAAUGAAAAGAAGAAGAAUAUGGAAGCACUGGUGUUUCUUGUAUAGACAAGCACUGAAUGUUUCUUGUACAGACUGAAAGAUGUUUGCUUGUCAUCAUGUUUAUCAUUGUCAGAAGCUUUCAACUCUGUCUGAUAACACAGAGUAUAAUAUAAAAGCAUUUGAAAUAUCUAAGUAAAUUAGAAAAAAGGAGAUUUAAUUCAAGUAUUCUUUUGUUCAACCUAAAAUGUUCAUUUCACAUUGUUUCAUCUCCACAAACUAGUGGUUGUGAUGAUAAUUUUAACUUUUCCAUCAAGGCGUUGAUGCCUCUACUUUUUUAAAUAAUAGUGAUUCAUGCAAUGGGUAUAAAAUGCACUUCAGUUGCGCCUUGGUUUCUUCAGCCAUAGUAUGGUUUCUUGUCUCUGAACAAAAUCUUAAUAAUAUCUGCAAUCCUAUUACGCAGGCUCCGUAAAUGACUGUGGAAUAUUAUUAAUAUUAACACAGGUAUUUUUUUUUUAAUUUGCAAUACAUACAUGUUAUUUUAAUGUAAAUUAAUACAAUGUAAAAAAAUUCUACUACAAGGGCAAAGAAGAUGCUUGUUUCCUGUAUGUCUACAUUGAAAAUGACAUGUUUGUCUCAUUUUUCACUUGUGAAGUUCAAAAUAUAAAACAUUUGAGUGAAAACAGACCUAAACGAGGGAUUCAAAUUCGAGUGAAUUGAAACAUUCAUUAAAUUGAAUUUUUCAAUUACCUCUGUUUUAAAACCUUUAAACCUCUCAUCCUUUUGAACUGUUCCACCAAUUCAUUGCUCCACUUGUUUAAACAAAAGUGCUUCAUGUAAUGUUUGUGAAAUGCGUCAUAGUUGCACCUUGGUUUCUUCAGCCAUAUUUUGGUUUUAUGAUACUGAAAUUUUUUAAAAAUUAUUAUCUCUAUAUCUUAGCAAGCAAAAAUGGUUGUCUUCUCGCAAACUUAGACAUUUAUUUCUCCUCUUCAGCACAAGCACAAAAAAUAGAACAUUUAAGUGAAGCAUAGCCAUAAAAGAGGGUUUCAAAUAAGAGCGAAUUGAAACAUUAAUUGAAUUGAAUUUUUCAAUUCACUCCGAUUUAGAGAACCUGUCAAAAACUUUCAUCUUUUUGAACUUGUCCAUCAAGGCAUUGCUGCCUCUACCCUUUUAAACAACAGAGAUUCAUGUAAUGGGUAUAAAUACGCCGUAGUUGCGCCUUGGUUUCUUCAGCCAUAUUUUGGUUUCAUGCCUCAGAAUUUUAUUAAAAAUUAUCUGCGUUUAACCAAAAAUAAAAUAUUUAAGUGAAGCAUAGACAUAAACGAAGGAUUCAAAUUCGAGUAAAUUGAAACAUUCAUUAAAUUGAAUUUUUCUAUUACCUCUGUUUUAAAACCUUUAGGCCUCUUUUCCAUUACACGGUUGUUCAAACGUACGGUGUGUAAGCCGUACGGUUGAAAAAACGUGCUAGCUUGUACAUGAUACGGCAAAAUCACCGCGCGAGACAUUGG